ACGGAAGGCAGCAGUUAGGAAUAUUGGACAAUGGGGGCAACCCUGAUCCAGCAAUGCCGCGUGAGUGUUAAGGCCUUCGGGUUGUAAAGCUCUUUUGUAUGGGAAAAUGAUGAUGGUACCAUAAGAAUAAGCACCGGCUAACUUCGUGCCAGCAGCCGCGGUAAUACGAAGGGUGCAAGCGUUGUUCGGAAUUACUGGGUGUAAAGGGCGUGUAGGCGGAGCUGCAAGUCAGAUGUGAAAUCCCGGGGCUCAACCCCGGAACUGCAUUUGAAACUGUAGCCCUUGAGUAUCGGAGAGGCAAGCGGAAUUCCUAGUGUAGCGGUGAAAUGCGUAGAUAUUAGGAGGAACACCAGUGGCGAAGGCGGCUUGCUGGACGACAACUGACGCUGAGGCGCGAAAGCGUGGGGAGCAAACAGGAUUAGAUACCCUGGUA
rnacentral:rRNA from 1 species